CCUACGGGAGGCAGCAGUGGGGAAUUUUGGACAAUGGGCGCAAGCCUGAUCCAGCAAUGCCGCGUGAGUGAAGAAGGCCUUCGGGUUGUAAAGCUCUUUUGUCAGGGAAGAAACGGCAGUUUCUAAUACAGAUUGCUAAUGACGGUACCUGAAGAAUAAGCACCGGCUAACUACGUGCCAGCAGCCGCGGUAAUACGUAGGGUGCAAGCGUUAAUCGGAAUUACUGGGCGUAAAGCGUGCGCAGGCGGUUUUGUAAGUUUGUCGUGAAAUCCCCGGGCUCAACCUGGGAAUGGCGAUGAAGACUGCAAGGCUAGAAUCUGGCAGAGGGGGGUAGAAUUCCACGUGUAGCAGUGAAAUGCGUAGAGAUGUGGAGGAACACCGAUGGCGAAGGCAGCCCCCUGGGUCAAGAUUGACGCUCAUGCACGAAAGCGUGGGGAGCAAACAGGAUUAGAUACCCUGGUAGUCCACGCCCUAAACGAUGUCUACUAGUUGUCGGGUUUUAAUUAACUUGGUAACGCAGCUAACGCGUGAAGUAGACCGCCUGGGGAGUACGGUCGCAAGAUUAAAACGUCAAAGGAAUUGACGG
rnacentral:rRNA from 1 species